AUCGAACGCUGGCGGCAGGCCUAACACAUGCAAGUCGAACGAGUGGCGGACGGGUGAGUAAUGUCUGGGAAACUGCCUGACGGAGGGGGCUAACUACUGGAAACGGUAGCUAAUACCGCUUACCACCCGAUGUGCCCAGAUGGGAUUAGCUAGUCGGUGGGGUAACGGCUCACCAAGGCGACGAUCCCUAGCUGGUCUGAGAGGAUGACCGGCCACACUGGAACUGAGACACGGUCCAGACUCCUACGGGAGGCAGCAGUGGGGAAUAUUGCGCAAUGGGCGCAAGCCUGAUGCAGCCAUGCCGCGUGUAUGAAGAAGGCCUUCGGGUUGUAAAGUACUUUCAGCGGGGAGGCGUUACCCGCAGAAGAAGCACCGGCUAACUCCGUGCCAGCAGCCGCGGUAAUAC
rnacentral:rRNA from 1 species